UACGUAGGGGGCUAGCGUUGUCCGGAUUUAUUGGGCGUAAAGAGCGUGUAGGCGGCCAGGUAGGUCUGCUGUGAAAACUCGAGGCUCAACCUCGAGACGUCGGCGGAAACCAUCUGGCUAGAGUCCGGAAGAGGAGAGUGGAAUUCCUGGUGUAGCGGUGAAAUGCGCAGAUAUCAGGAAGAACGCCCGUGGCGAAGGCGGCUCUCUGGGGCGGUACUGACGCUGAGACGCGAAAGCGUGGGGAGCGAACAGG
rnacentral:rRNA from 1 species